AACAAACAUGUCCUCUACUCUGAGUCUUAGAGUUUUUACAUCUAGUAGAAUGCCUUCAGUAUGGAUGGUGCUUCUUCAUUUUCAUAUAAGCAAUGCUGUUGCAGAGACGAUCAGAGUAUUUGGACGUAAAGGAGACUCCAUAAUCCUUGACCCUGGAAAAAAUAACGUGUGGAAUCAAAGGCAAUCAAUACCUGGAUUUGACAUGAGAUGGAAACAUUCGGAUAUGUAUAUUGUUAAAUAUUCCAAAGUACUGCCUAAUUUCGCUGAAAGGUAUAAGAUAUUUCCAAAUGGUACACUGAUGAUUAGCCAAGGACAUGAGACAGGCUUGGAAAAUUAUACAGUGGAACAAUAUAAUGGUAAUGGAGGUCUGAUAUCCCAGCGGAACAUUGAGCUCUGUGUGCUAGAACCAGUCACCAAACCAAAGGUGAGAUACUUUUGUUUUCAUAACGGAACGAUUAUUCUGAACUGCUCUGUUGAUAAAGGAGACCAGGUGGUGAUCAACUGGAUUGGGCAGGAUUUCUUGUCUAAUAACAUCCUGAGCACAGGUCCUGUCAUAUUUAUGGGCGACCAAAUGCCUGGAAAUCUGUCCUGUGUGGCAAAGAAUGAAAUAAGUAAAGAAUGCAUCAGCCCAGAUGUUCAUAGAUGCAGAGGUUACUAUUCAACUGUAACUGCAUUUGGACUCCUGGCAUUUGCCCUAUUGAUGCUGGUGGUGACCAUUCUGGAUUUGAAAAAGGGGUGCAAGAAGACAAAACCAGCAGAUCCUCUGAAGCUCUGUCUUGUUGAAUGGGAAUGUUGUUGGAUAAGCCGUUUUCAUGUCUCACCAGUGAUGUUAGGUUGUGUUCAUGUCCGAGCAAGGACAUUCACAUAUUGUCCCGAUGCCACUACAGUGUUGUCUUGUUUGUGUGUUUAGGGUAGUUGUCUUGUUUGUGUGUUAUGGGUAGUUGUCUUGUUUGUGUGUUAUGGGUAGUUGUCUUGUUUGUGUGUUUAGGGUAGUUGUCUUGUUUGUGUGUUUAGGGUAGUUGUCUUGUUUGUGUGUUCAGGAUAGUUGUCUUGUUUGUGUGUUUAGGGUAGUUGUCUUGUUUGUGUGUUCAGGGUAGUUGUCUUGUUUGUGUGUUUAGGGUAGUUGUCUUGUUGGAAGGUUCACCUUUUCCUUAGUCUGAGGUCCUGAGCUCUCUGGACCAGGUUUUCAUCAAGGACUUUUCUUUACAUUGCUUUUUUCAUCUUUCCUUCAAUCCUGACUAGUCUUCCAAUCCUCGCCGCUGAAGGACAUCCCCACAGCUUUAUGCUGUAACCAUCAUGCUUCACUGUAAUGAUGGUGUUGGCCAGGUGAAGAGCGGUGCCUGGUUUCCUUCUGACAUGACAAAUGGCAUUCAG
ensembl:lncRNA